rnacentral:rRNA from 1 species
AAUCUUGCGCAAUGGUCGAAAGCCUGACGCAGCCAUGCCGCGUGAAUGAUGAAGGUCUUAUGUUUGAAAAAUUCUUUCACCGGGGACGAUAAUGACGGUACCCGGAGAAGAAGCCCCGGCUAACUUCGUGCCUUUAGCCGCGGUAAUACGAAGGGGGCUAGCGUUGCUCGGAAUUACUGGGCGUAAAGGGCGCGUAGGCGGAUCGUUAAGUCAGAGGUGAAAUCCCAGGGCUCAACCCUGGAACUGCCUUUGAUACUGGCGAUCUUGAGUAUGAGAGAGGUAUGUGGAACUCCGAGUGUAGAGGUGAAAUUCGUAGAUAUUCGGAAGAACACCAGUGGUGAAGGCGACAUACUGGCUCAUUACUGACGCUGAGGCGCGAAAGCGUGGGGAGCAAACAG